AUUGAACGCUGGCGGCAUGCCUUACACAUGCAAGUCGAACGGCAGCGGGGGAGAAGCUUGCUUUUCCUGCCGGCGAGUGGCGAACGGGUGAGUAAUACAUCGGAACGUGCCCUGUAGUGGGGGAUAACUAGUCGAAAGAUUAGCUAAUGCCGCAUACGACCUGAGGGUGAAAGUGGGGGACCGCAAGGCCUCAUGCUAUAGGAGCGGCCGAUGUCUGAUUAGCUAGUUGGUGGGGUAAAGGCCUACCAAGGCGACGAUCAGUAGCUGGUCUGAGAGGACGAUCAGCCACACUGGACUGAGACACGGCCCAGACUCCUUCGGGAGGCAGCAGUGGGGAAUUUUGGACAAUGGGCGAAAGCCUGAUCCAGCAAUGCCGCGUGUGUGAAGAAGGCCUUCGGGUUGUAAAGCACUUUUGUCCGGAAAGAAAUGGCUCCGGUUAAUACCUGGGGUCGAUGACGGUACCGGAAGAAUAAGGACCGGCUAACUACGUGCCAGCCGCCGCAGUAA
rnacentral:rRNA from 1 species